ACAAAAACGUAAGCCCAAUGCGGGGCUCGAACCCGCGACAACCAGAUUAAGAGUCUGGUGCUCUACCGACUGAGCUAACCGGGCGGCGAA
ensembl:ncRNA C17D12.10 ncRNA